rnacentral:rRNA from 1 species
UGCGUAGGCGGAUUAAUAAGUCAGUGGUGAAAACCUUCAGCUUAACUGGAGACUUGCCAUUGAUACUGUUAGUCUUGAGUACGGUCAAGGUAGGCGGAAUGUGUAAUGUAGCGGUGAAAUGCUUAGAUAUUACACAGAACACCGAUUGCGAAGGCAGCUUACUGGGCCAUUACUGACGCUGAGGCACGAAAGCGUGGGGAGCAAACAGGAUUAGAUACCCUGGUAGUCC